UAGGGAAUCUUCGGCAAUGGGGGCAACCCUGACCGAGCAACGCCGCGUGAGUGAAGAAGGUUUUCGGAUCGUAAAGCUCUGUUGUAAGAGAAGAACGUGUGUGAGAGUGGAAAGUUCACACAGUGACGGUAACUUACCAGAAAGGGACGGCUAACUACGUGCCAGCAGCCGCGGUAAUACGUAGGUCCCGAGCGUUGUCCGGAUUUAUUGGGCGUAAAGCGAGCGCAGGCGGUUUAAUAAGUCUGAAGUUAAAGGCAGUGGCUUAACCAUUGUUCGCUUUGGAAACUGUUAAACUUGAGUGCAGAAGGGGAGGGUGGAAUUCCAUGUGAAGCGGUGAAAUGCGUAGAUAUAUGGAGGAACACCGGUGGCGAAAGCGGCUCUCUGGUCUGUAACUGACGCUGAGGCUCGAAAGCGUGGGGAGCAAACAGG
rnacentral:rRNA from 1 species